UACGGGGGGGGCAAGCGUUGUUCGGAAUUACUGGGCGUAAAGGGCCAGUAGGCGGCCAACUAAGUCCGACGUGAAAUCCCCAGGCUUAACCUGGGAACUGCGUCGGAUACUGGAUGGCUUGAAUUCGGGAGAGGGAUGCAGAAUUCCAGGUGUAGCGGUGAAAUGCGCAGAUAUCGGGAGGAACACCAGCGGCGAAGGCGGCGCUCUGGGCCGGAAUUGACGCUGAGGAGCGAAAGCGUGGGUAGCAAACAGG
rnacentral:rRNA from 1 species